UACGAAGGGUGCAAGCGUUGUUCGGAUUUAUUGGGCGUAAAGGGUUCGUAGGCGGGAUUAUAAGUCAAGUGUGAAAUCUCCGAGCUUAACUCGGAACGUGCAUUUGAAACUAUUUUUCUUGAGUCAUAGAGAGGGCGAUGGAAUUGUUGGUGUAGGAGUGACAUCCGUAGAGAUCAACAGGAACAUCAGAGGCGAAAGCGGUCGCCUGGCUAUGUACUGACGCUGAGGAACGAAAGCGUGGGGAGCAAACAGG
rnacentral:rRNA from 1 species